rnacentral:rRNA from 1 species
UACAACGCACUACCUGUUCAUAGUAGUCGUUGCUGUCAACAGCACACUGCUCACCAUCAACGCAGGGGACUACAUCUUCUACACAGACUGGGCGUGGACGUCCUUCGUUGUGUUCUCGGUGUCGCAGUUGACGAUGCCUGCUGUAUGCUAAAUUUCCAACAUCGUAUUCACAGGUGCUCCAUGCCCACCACCCCAUCAUCCCACGAAAAUGACCAACUACACAUCUGUCUCAAUGUUCGUAUGAUGAUAAGUGUGAUACCCCCACGACUUCGUCGAGCGACAAUACGCAACAUGCCCGCUGCCAGACUGAUUGGCGGUACGCUGGUUGGCCUAUCCUUCCGCCUGUUCAACGUGGUCAACCUGUUGCUUGUAAGGGACCCGCUCUGGGUGGCGUUCAAGUAUCCGAGACCGACUCUGCCCGCGUACAUGACGCCUAUAGAGCCUCAGUUAGAGAAGUUCUACAACUCGCCUGUCGCCCUGGGUUCAGGUGGCGGUGCAGUGCUAACGGUACCCAUCGCUGCGUUGGGUGCAAAACUAAACACGUGG